CUACCAUGUUAAACUAGCCUAGCAUGUUAAACUAGCCUAGCAUGUUAAACUAGCAUAGCAUGUUAAACUAACCUACCAUGUUAAACUAGCUUUGCAUGUUAAAUUAACCUAGCAUGUUAAACUAGCCUAGCAUGUUAAACUAACCUACCAUGUUAAACUAGCUUUGCAUGUUAAAUUAACCUAGCAUGUUAAACUAGCCUAGCAUGUUAAACUAAUCUAGAAAGUUAAACUAGCUUUGCAUGUUAAAUUAACCUAGCAUGUUAAACUAGCCUAGCAUGUUAAACUAACCUACCAUGUUAAACUAGCUUUGCAUGUUAAAUUAACCUAGCAUGUUAAACUAGCCUAGCAUGUUAAACUAACCUACCAUGUUAAACUAGCUUUGCAUGUUAAAUUAACCUAGCAUGUUAAACUAGCCUAGAAUGUUAAACCUGUGGCAAAAACAAUCCCACAAAAAAGUGUGCGUUAAAUGUCCAUCAUUAGCCUACACCUUGAGUCACAUGACCACCUUCAUGACUUACCAUUGGCUCCUGAGUCAGAUUCCCAGGCCUCCUCAGUUUUUCCAGGAAGUAGGAAGCUGUAGGUGCUGCGAUCCGAACUUAAAGUACCUGUGUGGUGUUAUACAGCACAGCGACUCCUCCCGCAGAAACGAGGGCGUGUCUCCCGGCGCUGGUUUUGGCGGCACUGUGCAGGCAGUGGAGGAACGCCCUGCGUACGGCGACAUGCUCGUUCCUCGAAUCCUGCGUGUGCCAGUCUUCAUAAACUCUCAACAAGCCCGAGAUGUACCCUUUCCCCACCGCCAGGCGGACAUUAUCCUCUGAAAUAGAAUUAAAGUCCCUUCAGACCACGGCGCCGUUCAGUCCUGGAUUCUGAUUGGUCAGAGCGUGUUAAUAUAAACCUGCACUACUGUCAGAGCUGCUGUUAUAGAAAACUAAUCACCACCUGACGACCAAUCACACAGCGAACACGCCGACUACGUUUGGUGCAACUUCUUACUUUAAUACACCGCAUCUUUUAAUGAUUCAAAGUUCUUCAAAGUCCAGUCGCUGUAUUUAAACUCACUGUAUUAAAAAAAUAAAAAAAUAAAUAAAUGUAAAUGGUUUAUUUAAAUAAAUAAAUAAAUAAAUAAAUAAAUAAAUAAAUAAAUAAAUAAAUGUGCUGAUCAUUGAUUAUUGCUCAUUUAAUUAUUUGGAUGUUUUAUUGCGCUUUUUGUCUUUCAUCUACAACUUAUAACUUACUCCUAUCAUCUGGUUGGGGGAAAAACAUUAAGUCGAUCAAUCAAUCAAUCAGUCAAUCAAUUAAUUUACUGUAUCCAAUAAAAGGUGUAUAGAAUGAACAAAAGUUUGUGCA